GCAGUAGCCACGGGAAUACAGAGGGUGCGAGCGUUAAUCGGAUUUACUGGGCGUAAAGCGUGCGUAGGCGGCUUCUUAAGUCGGAUGUGAAAUCCCUGAGCUUAACUUAGGAAUUGCAUUCGAUACUGGGAAGCUAGAGUAUGGGAGAGGAUGGUAGAAUUCCAGGUGUAGCGGUGAAAUGCGUAGAGAUCUGGAGGAAUACCGAUGGCGAAGGCAGCCAUCUGGCCUAAUACUGACGCUGAGGUACGAAAGCAUGGGGAGCAAACAGGAUUAGAUACCCCAGUAGUCCCUGUAUCUUAUAA
rnacentral:rRNA from 1 species